GACGAACGCUGGCGGCGUGCUUAACACAUGCAAGUCGAACGGAAAGGCCCUGCUUUUGUGGGGUGCUCGAGUGGCGAACGGGUGAGUAACACGUGAGUAACCUGCCCUUGACUUUGGGAUAACUUCAGGAAACUGGGGCUAAUACCGGAUAGGAGCUCCUGCUGCAUGGUGGGGGUUGGAAAGUUUCGGCGGUUGGGGAUGGACUCGCGGCUUAUCAGCUUGUUGGUGGGGUAGUGGCUUACCAAGGCUUUGACGGGUAGCCGGCCUGAGAGGGUGACCGGCCACAUUGGGACUGAGAGACGGACCAGACUCCUACGGGAGGCAGCAGUGGGGAAUAUUGCACAAUGGGCGGAAGCCUGAUGCAGCAACGCCGCGUGCGGGAUGACGGCCUUCGGGUUGUAAACCGCUUUCGCCUGUGACGAAGAGUGAGUGACGGUAAUGGGUAAAGAAGCACCGGCUAACUACGUG
rnacentral:rRNA from 1 species